CAUGCCUAACACAUGCAAGUCGAACGAAGCCUUCGGGCUUAGUGGCGCACGGGUGCGUAACGCGUGGGAAUCUGCCCCUCGGUUCGGAAUAACAGUUAGAAAUGACUGCUAAUACCGGAUGAUGACGAAAGUCCAAAGAUUUAUCGCCGAGGGAUGAGCCCGCGUAGGAUUAGCUUGUUGGUGGGGUAAUGGCCCACCAAGGCGACGAUCCUUAGCUGGUCUGAGAGGAUGAUCAGCCACACUGGGACUGAGACACGGCCCAGACUCCUACGGGAGGCAGCAGUGGGGAAUAUUGGACAAUGGGCGAAAGCCUGAUCCAGCAAUGCCGCGUGAGUGAUGAAGGCCUUAGGGUUGUAAAGCUCUUUUACCAGGGAUGAUAAUGACAGUACCUGGAGAAUAAGCUCCGGCUAACUCCGUG
rnacentral:rRNA from 1 species